GCUAGCGCCUGUCUCUUUAAAUGCCACGGGCUGCGCUCCCGCCCGGGAGCCCGGAGCCGGAUCUACAAUCCGUCCCUCCCGCUCCGGCGCUUGUUGCUCGCGCGGCCCGAGCGGGAGCUACCGCCGCCGGGAAGCGAGGCUGCCUCCUUCUCCUCGCGCCCCACGUCCCUCGAGAGCUGGCUGAGCGCGGCCAGCAGGGCCUGCGGGAGGGAGGGGGCGCGGUGUGAACAGGAAUUGCCCCCCACCUUCAAGUCUUGGGGCGCCACCCAGCCGCGGGGAAGACAUGCUUCUCUACCCCCUGCCCAGCGUCGCUGCCGCCGGUGCUGGGCGAGGAGGGACUGCGGAGCCCACACCCGCAAACUCGUCCUAGAAGUCUCGGGGUGCGGCAAGGGGCCCCUCCCAAUUUCCCUCGGCUUCCACCUCCCUGCGGGUGGCCGCAGCCCCUGUCCGGGGACCUGUGCCAAUGACCCUAGUGGCGGUUUCGCUUUCUCCCCUCGCGGCGGUGUGAACGUGCGUCCACAGCGUGAUGGGCAACCAGGUGGAGAAACUGACCCACCUAAGUUACAAGGAAGUUCCAACGGCCGACCCUACUGGUGUGGACCGGGACGACGGCCCCCGCAUCGGUGUCUCUUAUAUCUUUUCCAAUGACGACGAGGACGUAGAGCCACAGCCACCGCCCCAAGGGCCGGAUGGCGGUGGCUUGCCUGACUGUGGGGAGCAGCCGCCGCUACCCCCGCCGCAGCCUUACGACCCGCGGCUACACGAGGUAGAGUGCUCAGUGUUCUAUCGCGACGAGUGCAUCUACCAGAAAAGCUUUGCGCCAGGCUCGGCGGCGCUGAGCACUUACACACCUGAGAACCUGCUCAACAAGUGCAAUCCAGGCGACCUGGUGGAGUUUGUGUCUCAGGCGCAGUACCCGCACUGGGCGGUAUACGUGGGCAACUUCCAGGUGGUCCAUCUGCACCGGCUGGAGGUGAGCAACAGCUUUCUGACUGACGCGAGCCAGGGCCGACGUGGCCGUGUGGUCAACGAUCUGUACCGCUACAAGCCUCUGAGCCCCAGUACCGUGGUGCGCAACGCGCUAGCGCACGUGGGCGCCAAGGAGCGCGAGCUCAGCUGGCGCAAUUCAGAGAGCUUUGCCGCCUGGUGCCGCUAUGGCAAGCGCGAGUUCAAGAUCGGCGGCGAGCUGCGCAUCGGCAAGCAGCCCUACCGCUUGCAGAUUCAGCUCUCGGCUCAGCGCAGCCACACGCUGGAGUUCCAGAGCCUGGAGGACUUGAUCAUGGAGAAGCGGCGAAACGACCAGAUCGGACGCGCGGCGGUACUGCAGGAGCUCGCCAUGCACCUGCACCCAGCGGAGCCGGACGAGGGCGACAGCGAUGCGGCGCGGACUACGCCGCCUCCCAGGCCCACCCCUUCACCAGGCUUGGAGGGGGAGGAUGGAGAGGCUGUGGCACACUGACCGGCGAGUGGAGGGCAGCACUGCAAAAGGGAGCUAUUUGCAGCAGCUGCUGCCCCUUUUCAACUCCUCUUCCUCCCUUCCUCCCUCCCUCCUCUGCCGCCACCUGGGCCCCACUGGGAUUCCUGGGCCCUUUGGAAAAUGGAGAGUUGGAGAAAUACACAGCCGGCUGUGAACAGGGAAGGAGGAAGGGAACAGAGGGAGCAGCCCAACUGCCUGAGGAGCCCCUGUGAUUGCCACCAGAGGCCAAGCCACUCUUAUCCUGGAGUCAGCAUGACCACUGCAAGCCCUGGUCCCUUGCUCAGCACGAGUCAGAUGACAACACACCGCCUCUGGAUGCAGCCUUUGUUCCAAGAGUCCUGGGGUCCUAAGCUGUGGAGUGGACACGUGCCUGAAGAUAGCCCUGCUGGACAAUGUGCCUUGGGAAUUUGAAUCUCUAGGGCUGUAUCAUAGUGGCAGAAGUGAAUGGAAUGAAUUUCUUCUGGAAGAGGCAUUCUGACGAGGCUCUUUAUUGGUUCCUGCUACCCUGAACCCUUGGGAUAACUUCUGCUUGUCUUUUUGUUGUAUUUUGAGUCUCUAUUUAGUCCCAUUUUAAAAAAAUCUUCCAUGGAAAACCCAGUUCUCCUGCCUAUGCCCCCAAAACCCUGAUAGACUUUUUAACUUUUUUUUUUUUUUAAUCUUUCUCACAGCCCUGCCGCAUUCUGGGAGAUAAGUCUUUUCUUCUAUUAGCUCCUGUUAUUUAUCCACCUCUCAUAGCAUGUCUGUCUUCCUCCAUUACAUUCUGCCACUUGGGUUCUAACCUGCUCCAACCACUCAAGACACAGCACAGUCCUUGUCGUGAGAUGAAUCAUGUUCACCCUCUUUAUAUUCAUAUAUUGAAAUCCUGAUUCCCGGUACCUGAGAAUGUGACUGAUUUGGGAAAUAGAGUCUUUAAAGAGGUAAUUAAAGUUCCAAGAUAUCAUUGGAUAAGACCAUAACUCAACAUGACUGGUAUCCUCCAGAGAAGAAGAGAUUAGGAAGCGCACGCGAGUGCCAAAAGUAGUGCCUGGAGAUGGCAUGGGAGACCCAUGAUUUACUGGAGAAGGCUUAGAUCAGGGAUUGCUCCAAGAAGAGUCUAGGGACAACAGCUGAAAGAGUGACAACUCCAUCCCAUAAGGUACCUCUCCAAGCAGAGCCUCCAUUCCUUAUGACACCGCUCCAGGAACACUGCCUGUGUCCCUCACAGCACUUGGUCGAUUGGUGGCUGAUGGGAAAAGUGACACGUGCCUCCCCACAGUAUCCUCAACUCUGGUGCCAGUUACCACAGAAAUAGGGUUUUGUAGGUGAAUUGGUGGAAGCCAUGGCAUCGUUAACCUGCUAAGUCUGCUUUGUUCUUUUAGGGCCAGCAUUCCAAGGAGUAGCUUUUCCCAUGCCAUUUCAAGCAAGCCAUUUCAAAGGACAGAUAACAUCACCUUGUCUUAGUCUCCAUCAUCAUGAGAAAAGGCAGAGUCCUGCAAGGUAACAGUCACAUAUGCUUUCCAGCCCAUGCCUCUCCUGUUCCCUGGAUGAGGCUUGGGUCCGGGAACCAAGGGGCAUCUCAGGAACAUGGAAUUCUUUUGCUGACAUUCACCUUUCUUUAGGGCUGACACACAAGGCCAGGGUAAGUUUCUGGCCUUAGUAGAAACCAGCCCUGCUAACAGCUUGAUCUCAUACUCCCAGCCUCCAGAUAUGUCAGAAAAUAAAUUCUUAUUAGUCAUCCAAACUAUAGCACCUUGACAUGGCAGCCCUAGCUGAUGGUGAUAGUGGCCAGGGAUGCAGACUCUGGGUGGGGCCACCUGCAUCAAAUGUCCCUGGAACUAUGGGCAAGUCAUUUUACUAUCGAGUACUGACAUUUUGUGGUGAUGUUGGAGGAAAGGAGGAAGACAGCAGAAGAUGUUUGAGACUCAGUCAAGUCCGACAGGAAGCGAGAGAAAGGGAUAAAUAGGCAGAAUUUCUCCUUCCAAAUUCCCAUUGCCUCAAGUCACUCCUCCUGGUCCAGACAGAGCAGAGGGGACAAUUGGGUUUUGCUCAUCCCUGUGAUAGGAAUUCCCUGCCUACUGAGUUAAUGGUUAGGAACAAAAGAGAAAUAGUUAAUCUAAAAGCAAUUCUAUUUGUGUGCUUUGGACAAGUCCCUGACCUCCCCAUGCCCUCUUUCCUAAUCUCUAAAGUGGUAAUGACAACACUUGCAUCUUAGAGCAUUGUUGGAUGUAGCCCAUGGCAGAAAAUGCAUUUAACUUGCAAAAUAUUCUCUGCCCGGUGUCCAAAUUCCUUAAAGGCAAGCACUCUGGUUUUAUCAUUCACCUUUUCAUUUCAUGUUGUAAUUCAGGGGCAGAUAUACGGCAGCAGCCUGCUUACAUUUGCUGGAUGACUAAGUGGUGGCUGUUAUUAUUAAAGGAGACAGUCAACAGAUGGACAGUUGCUCAGGGCUGGGGCUGUUGUCUGUUAGUUUUAUGUGCUAGCCCCAGGCUAGUGGCCAUGAUGGCAGAGCAUCAUUUAAGGUUCAGAUGGAGCGUACAUCAAAAAUGACGAUAAAGGAAGAAACACAUAGUUUUCGACAUCUAAAUUUUCUGCUGAAAUGUUCACUUCCAGAGUGGGUGGAAAAUGUGUAUACUAAUCACAAUGAAUUAUUUGUAAAUGGAAGAGUGUGUCUGGGGGUUAUUGUCCUCCUUCCUCAACACACACACACACACACACACACACACACACACACUUAUACCAGCCCAUCUAUCACAUAUUAACAAAGGUAAAUUGCUCCCUGUCUUUCUAUUUCCAAUGAGGCAAAUUUCAACAUCUUACGCCGCACAUACAAAACUUUUGCAUGAAGUUCACAGAACACUUGUUUUUCUCAUGUUUUUCCUCCUGCUUCUAAUGUUCAGAUACAGGGUUUGCUCAGCCCUGGCGGAUCUACGCAUGCUUUUCAGCAAGCGUGCAACUGCCUCCUCCACCUCCCCCCCUCAGCUCUGGCACAGCCUUCCUAGGUCCAGAGAGGAGUGAUUUCCAGGAGUGUGGCCCCACCUCUCCCCAUCAAAACCCAUUGCCCCAGAGUGUCAUCAUUCAUUCACACACUGGUCUCUGACGUUGAACCAGGAGCUCCUCCAGAGCAGCGUCUGGCAUCUUCAUCCCUGCAUCUGUCACCCAUUUCAGCAAGUCACAGGACGGAGUGAAUGUUCUAUAGCUUCCAUUAAUGGAAGGCCUACUUUGUGCCAGGUACUAGGAUAAAAUAUUUAUACUCAGAUCAUUUAACCUCCUGAUGUGAUGAAAUGAAGGCUAAGAGAAGCUAAGCCACCUGUCCAAAUCCUUCCAGUCGUUAGAGUAGGAACUUGAACUCAGGACUGAGCAACUGAUGAGGCAUUGAGCACACAUUUCAUGAGCAUCUGCUGUGCUCGGGAUGAAGCCUUGCAGUGUUCUCUGGGUCGAGCACAAACAUUUUAAAAUAUCUUCUUUUGAAAUAGCAGGACCUAGGGGGAAAGGUGAGACAGGUUCCCUUUAAAAACCCAAGUCAAAGGCAGCAGUGAGGAAGGGGAGCAAGGACAGAUUGGCAAGGACUCCUAAUGAAGAGGCUUCUCUGCAUUCAUUUCCUCACCUGGGAAAGAAGGGGGCUUGGUAUCCCCAGAGAAGGGUAAUAGGAGAAGAAGCACUGACCCUGAGGCCCGGAAGGUGUGAAUGACUCAGGCUGUCUAUGAUGUUUAUUGCCCACUUUUCUAAGCUCAAGGACCCCAAUUUCAAAAAUCUAUUUAAUCUAUUUGCCACCUACAAACACAUUUUUUAUCAUAGCAACCAAUGCGCAGUAGCACAGCUACCCCCAUCCUCCCUCCACCCGGCUGCCCCAGCCGCUGCCUUCCUUGACUGAAAGCCCCUUUCCCUCCCACCCUCGGCAGCUGCUCACAUUCCUCCAAAUCUAUGUUCUCCUCCUCCAGGAGGGGUUCCUGAACCUCAGGCUAGAGGACUCAUCCUCCCCUUCUGCAUUCACAUUUGUCACUAUCGUGUGUGUGUGUGUGUGUGUGUGUGUGUGUGUGUGUGUGUUCCUUCACUCCCAGAAGUGAAGGGGCUUUAAUGCCUAAGCAAUGCUUCAGCCGCAUCUUAGCCGGGGCUCAGGGCUCCUGUCCACCUGGUCCCUUUGAAUGUUAGACAGCAGCACUGACGACACAGAGUAUUCCAAAUGGAGAAGAUAAAGCAGAGAGCAAUCAGAAAGAAUAUCUAUGUGUAUGUUUCGGUAGAUUGUCCAGAGAAAACUUGGAAAGAAAAAAACUUGUAUCUCAAAGCCCCCAGAAAUCUGUUUUGAGCUAUUUCUCAUUUAAAAAAAAAUACUCACUGAUUUAAUUUCAUACCUAAUCUUGUGAUUUUAUUUUGAUGUUUCCAAGAGGGUCCUCCUAGUCUGUGUAAGCUGCAGGGACCACACAUCUUGGAUCUGUUCCUAUUACUUUGUAUUACAACUGACUGGCUUUCUCUCCUCUGCUCAGAUGUGGGCUUUUGGAUGUGGGUGUCUGACUUACCUGUGCAUUUUCAGAGCUCAGUUAGACUUACUUCCCCCAUGCCUGAGAAGAAACCUCCCACAUCUAAGGAUGAAGCCACCUGCUCCCUCCCAGGUUGAAUUUUUUUUUUUUUGAACCUGAAGUCAUCUCUCACAGAAUGCUUGAGAGCAAACCUCUAGGUGGUCUCACCUGGACUGUCUAGGUGCAAAGGAGGUGGUUAACCAGGGUGGCCAGUUCACUGGCAGAAAUAUUACAGAUCUUCCAUCUCCUUAAUAGGUUGCUCCUACUAUUUCCACCUCCCUGCACUGCUCUCCAGCAGCCAGAUGGGCUGUGCACCUGAUGGACCAACAGCCCUGACCUGCAGAGGGCCAGACAGCCUUCCCAUGACUCAACCAAAUGAAGCACCUCAUGGCUAUUUAACCACUUGCCUCUGGACACACAUGCAGCAGCCCCUUUCUGGAGUCCUUUAUUGCUCCUGGAUCUGGCACAGUGAGCAUAUGACAACUUGGUUUUUGAAUCUUUGCAUUCAGUCCUUUCUAUUGCAAAACUUCAAGUUAUGCAUUCCAAAGGAGGCUCCUUCCAUAUGUUACUUUGAACUGAGAAACUUAAAAAAAAAAAAAACAGCAAAGGCAAAGGAGAUGCUUUCUCUGAGCUCCUCUUAUCUGCCUGCAGACAGAGUCUCCAAAUGGAACUGAACUAUCAUCAAGGCCCUGCCUUGGAGCUUCAUCAACCGGGGAAGGUUAACUCAUCAUGUCACGGGAGAGACUGAAACACCACCUGAGAUAAACUUUGUCACAAGCGAUCCUCUGUUCUCCUAAGGUCUAGUCCCCCAAGUUACUGACUCCCUCUGUACUGCCUAUAUCACCCUCCUUGCUACCCUGUGAGGAGGAGGGAUAAGCUCCCCAGUCUCAUUCCCCAGUAAAUUAACUUGUUAGAUUUCACAUAGACAAGAACUGGGGAGUUCUGGAUUCAAACCAGAGCCUGUUAUUUCUCUGCAGUCAAGGGAGAUAAGCCUGUCCUAACUCGUGGAUUAUUUGUGCCCUCCACCACAAUGAUGCCUGGGAAGGGGCCAUGACCCAAAAAUGGCACCGGGAGGGGCAACAGCAUGAGGAACGUUAAAGCGGACCCUGCCUGGGAGGUGACCCCCAGAUCCCAGAUUGAUUUGACAAAACCUGUUCCCAGAUUGUACCGGGCUUUGAACCACAGAGAUAGUUUCAUUAACCUCCUCGUAUUUCUGGGUUGAAUUAUAUAAAAUUGAUGUAUGUAAAGGUAAUUUUUUUUUUACAAUU